CCAGCUUCCUUCUUUUUUCCCCAGAGCGCCAGAGACCCGGGUUCAAUCCUGACCUCCGGCGCUGUCUGUGUGGAGUUUACACAUUCUCCCUGUGACCACGUGGGUUUCUCCCAGGCUCUCCGGUUUUCAUCCACACCUCAAAGACAUGCAGGUUGGCAGGUUAAUUGGCCUAUCGUGUUGGACAACAAUCCCAGUGUAAUAGAAGCAGAAAAUUCCAAAGUUUCCGCCAACAUUUACGAAGAGGGAAUUCAAGUUAAUAUUUUAGAUGGAUACCUGCUGGAACAAUUCUCGGGUCUCUGUAACCAAGAUCCUUACACCCAAAGUGAGAGUGUUCUGGGGUCAAGCCCGCAAGUGUCGCCACGCUUCCAGCGCCAACAUGGCAUGCCCACAACUUCCUAACCCGUACGUCUUUGGAAUGUGAGAGGAAACCGGAGCACCCAGAGGAAACCCACGCAGACACACAGGGAGAACGUACAAACUCCUUACAGACAGCAGCGGGAAUUGAACCCAGGUCGCUGGCACUGUAAUAGUGCAUGGAGGUAGUACAAGGUAAAACAAUAACAGAAUGCAGAAUAAGGUGUUACAGUUACAGAGGAAGUGCAGUGCAGGCACACAAUAAGGUGCAAGGUCAAUACGAGGUAAAUUGUGAGGUCAAGAGUCCAUCUUAUUUACCCACAUUGUUUUGACCUCACAAUAUUCCUCUGCAUUCUGUUAUUGU